CCAGACUCCUACGGGAGGCAGCAGUGAGGAAUAUUGGUCAAUGGCCGAGAGGCUGAACCAGCCAAGUCGCGUGAGGGAAGACGGCCCUACGGGUUGUAAACCUCCUUUGUCGGGGAGCAAAGAGAGUCACGUGUGACUCAUUGAGAGUACCCGAAGAAAAAGCAUCGGCUAACUCCGUGCCAGCAGCCGCGGUAAUACGGAGGAUGCGAGCGUUAUCCGGAUUUAUUGGGUUUAAAGGGUGCGCAGGCGGAGGUGCAAGUCAGCGGUCAAAUUGCGGGGCUCAACCCCGUACUGCCGUUGAAACUGGCGUUCUUGAGUGAGCGAGAAGUAUGCGGAAUGCGUGGUGUAGCGGUGAAAUGCAUAGAUAUCACGCAGAACUCCGAUUGCGAAGGCAGCAUACCGGCUCUCAACUGACGCUCAGGCACGAAAGCGUGGGUAUCGAACAGGAUUAGAUACCCGGGUA
rnacentral:rRNA from 1 species